rnacentral:rRNA from 1 species
GAUGAACGCUGGCGGCGUGCCUAAUACAUGCAAGUCGAGCGAACAGACGAGGAGCUUGCUCCUAUGACGUUAGCGGCGGACGGGUGAGUAACACGUGGAUAACCUACCUAUAAGACUGGGAUAACUUCGGGAAACCGGAGCUAAUACCGGAUAAUAUAUUGAACCGCAUGGUUCAAUAGUGAAAGACGGUUUUGCUGUCACUUAUAGAUGGAUCCGCGCCGCAUUAGCUAGUUGGUAAGGUAACGGCUUACCAAGGCAACGAUGCGUAGCCGACCUGAGAGGGUGAUCGGCCACACUGGAACUGAGACACGGUCCAGACUCCUACGGGAGGCAGCAGUAGGGAAUCUUCCGCAAUGGGCGAAAGCCUGACGGAGCAACGCCGCGUGAGUGAUGAAGGUCUUCGGAUCGUAAAACUCUGUUAUUAGGGAAGAACAAAUGUGUAAGUAACUAUGCACGUCUUGACGGUACCUAAUCAGAAAGCCACGGCUAACUACGU